GUGGGGUGCAACCUCCUUAUUGUCAACUCUUAUAAUAUGGAAAUGAUUGACACAAUGAAAAAUGAGGGACAAUCGGCGGGAGCGGCGGCGGCAGUGUUCGACAAUUGCUAUUUUAUGGCAUGUGAUUUUCCUGUUACUAGGUUCGAACAUUGUAAUAGGGAAGCAAAUAAGGUUGCUCAUGAACUUGCUAGGCUAGCAAAAAAUUUUGAGACUAGGGAUUGGUUUGAGGAGCCUAUGGAUGAUAUUGUAUCUCUUCUUAUUUACGAUUAA
rnacentral:rRNA from 1 species